UCUAACCGGUCCGGGGCUCCCAGCGCUAUAAAAACUUUAUAAACCCCCCGGAGCCCGAGCAGUGUGAAGAAGAGGCGAGAACGACCCCCGGACCGACCAAAGCCCGCGCGCCGCUGCAUCCCGCGUCCAGCACCUACGUCCCGCUGCCGUCGCCGCCGCCACCAUGCCCAAGAGAAAGUUUUUUGUUCUUGUUUCUUAUAGGCUGAAGGGGAUGCUAAGGGAGAUAAAGCAAAGGUGAAGGACGAACCACAGAGAAGAUCCGCGAGGUUGUCUGCUAAACCUGCUCCUCCAAAGCCAGAGCCCAAGCCUAAAAAGGCCCC
rnacentral:sRNA from 1 species